CUUCCAGCUGCCCACUGCACAACCUGAUUAAAGAAAAAUGUUUCUAAACAUUUCAUGAAAUAUUAGGGGAGAAAAUAAGUUCCUUGUGAAAGGACAACAUUAAUUUGAUACACAUAUAAAAUAUAACGAGGCAAAGCAGAAUGAUUUAAGAGAGCUUGGUUAACAAUGUACUGGUCCAAAAACAACUCCCAGCUACUACCCCUUGUGUUUGCAGAUCUAAAGGGACUGGAUAUGUUGAUAGUAUGGUGAUGGCUCCACCUAGCCCCCUAAAUGGUAUUUGUCAAAUUGCUUACACCCAUCCGGUUCCUUCAGGACUGCAAAACACAGAAGGUUUAGAGGCUAGGGUAAGGAGCUAGACAGGGGCUCAGGAUGUUUGUGUAGCUAUUUAGUGCCACAAGACCCGUCUAUACAGGUCGUGUGGUGGUGAUGAUGUCACAUUCCCCUGAGGCUGGCGUCAGGAGGACAGAUAAUUUCUUGGGGUUAUGGCAACAGAGCCCAGGUCAAAAGUAGUGCGCUCUCUACCCCUGUCAAACUACCCAGGUUAGAACGACUCCAUAUCUAUUCAAUGAUGGCUCAACAUUACUUAUGUUUCCUCAUUCUGUUUGAUUUUCUUCUACCUUAUCCAAUGCUUUCAGAUGUACACGUGCUAAGUUGGUAGGGAAGGGUUGAUGGGGUUUUGUGGGUGUAGAGGUGGAGUGUGAAGACAACCAGACUAUGCAUGUGUUUAGUGCUUUGUAAGUCCCUUGUGGACGUUCAGCCAAUGUACAAAAAUAUACAACAGUAUUAUCAAAUAAAACCAAACCUUUGAAAUAACUUUCUCUGUGUGUCUCUGUGCUGUUGGUAGUUAUCAGCCCUUGAUUUAGUGUUUCCCAUGUUGCACCACUAAAGGGUGCUGACUAAAUAGAGACUAUCGCUGUUUUGGGUCUGAAAAUAGAGCCUGCAUCCCAAAUUGCACGGAGUACUUGAAUCACUUUUUCUGGUGAAAGAACUUUGGUGCUGUUUGUUAUUCUUGCAGUGGUCAAUAAUGGGGCCUUAUGUUGGAAAUGCCAUUCUAAAUGUAUCAGAAGGCUUAAAUGCUAACAUAGAUUAAUACAUUUCAAGAAAUGCUCUGCUUUUUUUCCUGCUCAGGGAAUUGACAUUUUGGUGUGACG
rnacentral:lncRNA from 13 species